rnacentral:rRNA from 1 species
UCCUCCCUCUUUCUUCGUGCUUAACACAUGCAAGUCGAACGGAAAGGCCCUGCUUUUGUGGGGUGCUCGAGUGGCGAACGGGUGAGUAACACGUGAGUAACCUGCCCUUGACUUUGGGAUAACUUCAGGAAACUGGGGCUAAUACCGGAUAGGAGCUCCUGCUGCAUGGUGGGGGUUGGAAAGUUUCGGCGGUUGGGGAUGGACUCGCGGCUUAUCAGCUUGUUGGUGGGGUAGUGGCUUACCAAGGCUUUGACGGGUAGCCGGCCUGAGAGGGUGACCGGCCAAAUUGGGACUGGGAUACGGCCCAGACUCCUACGGGAGGCAGCAGAGGGGAAUAUUGCACAAUGGGCGGAAGCCUGAUGCAGCAACGCCGCGUGCGGGAUGACGGCCUUCGGGUUGUAAACCGCUUUCGCCUGUGACGAAGCGUGAGUGACGGUAAUGGGUAAAGAAGCACCGGCUAACUACGUG